GGCUCCGCGCCGCUCCGAGCCGCCGCCGGCGGCCCGCGCGUCCCACGUUGUCCCCUCGCUCGCCCCCGGCUCGCGCCCGCCGGCUGCCGGUUAGUGAGUUAACUCACUCUUCGUGAGAGAAGAUACCUACCAGAGAUAGUGCGGAGGACAACGCAUGGGAUUGGACAGUGAGGAGCGUCCGAAGGAGGAAGAGGAGGGAGCAGUACAAGUGGGGGCAGGCUGGGAGAGCCACACCCUACAUGCGGACACUGCCGUCGGAUUCCUUGUACUGGUUCCAUCCUCGAUGUCGUAACCAGUUUCUGGAAUCUUUUCAAUUAGGCAGUGAUUUAUUGGUUAGUGGGGUGUGUUUGGACAAUCUCCAGCAACAGGCACGAAAUGCAUUACCAUGCUAAUCUCUGUCCUACUGCCUGCAACGUUAAGGCAUGAAAUUUUUUCUCCAGGAAAUGAAUCUUUUUAAAAGUGGUUAUAAGAUUGUAUGACUAGGCUAUCAAGUGAUGUAAACCUGCCCAUUUCCAAAGCUUCAGUGCAGUUAUACCACUUACAAAAGGAUUUACUUCAAGAUUUUAGCUGUCCCAGCAUAUUAGUUGCUGAUGAACAGGAGGUCUUCCUGAAAAGAGCGCAUUUAUCAGCAUAAAUGGACCUCUUUGUUCCCUUAUGUAGAGGUUUUCAGCCUGCCCAAGCUAAAGUGUUUGCUAGUUCAAAAUUUAUUAUUUCUUGUCAUCACUUCUCUUACAGUCAUCACCUCCCUGGUAUUGGUCCAAUUCUGUGGAUUUGUCAAUCACCACCACAAAGAAACCCUGAGCCAAAAUAAACCUGGCCUGGCUUGAUUUUUGUAUUACAAAUGUACUGGCACAACUGUUGUCCACAAAACCUCCUAUUUCAGCAAAGUGCUUGAAAUCCCAUUGACUUCAAUUAAUAAGUUAAGCAAGUGCUUAAACGCUGUUUGAACUGGGGCCUGAUGACCCUGCCUUGGCCAACAAUUCACUAGGUUGGUUUCUUUUCUUUCUUUUCUUUCUUUCCUUCUUUGUUUCUUUCUCUCUUUCUUUCUUUCUUUCUUUCUUUCUUUCUUUCUUUCUUUAAUAGUUGCACAACUUUUAAAGGAAUUUCCACAUUUCACUUCAGUCAAGAGAUCAAAAAAAUUGGUGAGAUCAAGGAGAACUGAAACCAGAUAUUAUGUUUUCUUCUGACAUUUUUCAUUUAGCAACAGCCUGUAGUAGAUUAAACAUUAAGGAUCCAAGGACAGUGAAUGAAACGAGGUGGCCUUCUAGGACACAUUCCUCUUCUUGAAGUUAUGGGGUCAAAUCUUGAAAAAUUAAUCUUACUCCCCUCCCAAGGAAGGGAAUUACUGAUGUGUCGUAUAAGGAAAAGGCCUGCAGAUUCUGGACUACCACAGAUAUCCUUUACUUCAUGGUUGCUGGUGAUGUCUGGCAGUUUUAUAUUACAUGCUGCUCCUGUUCUCCCUGCAUGCAAUUACGUAGGCAUAUCUGUAUAAUGCGUGGUUAUUACAAAAUAACCACAACAUGCUGGGCAGAGCAUUUUAUGCCUCUCAGUUGGUCAAGGCUCAUCUGGCCUCAAUCUAAUAGUUCUUUUUUUUUUUUUUUCUUAAGGGACAUCUAUUUUAAGAUUUCCCCUAUUUAACCAACGGAAUCUAUGUUAAUUUGACCUAUAUUAAAUCAACUUUUUUUUUUUUUUUUUUCAUUAUUCCCUCUGCUGAUCAAAGAGCUUUCAGGCAGUUUCCUCAGACACUGGCAUACCUUGCAGCUCCAGCAGGAAGCCAGCGUGCCAGCAUGCAAAUGCUCCCCGCCUUCCUCCUCUUGUGAAGGUGGCUGUGAGGCCCGCUGCCUCCCAAGCAGGGCGCAGCUGACUUCUCCCUCCCAUUCCCUCCCAUUCCAGGCACAUGUGAGCUGCAGCUCUGGGAAAUUUCUCAGUGCGGGAGGAAAAGCCCUUUGGUGCAUAGACCCCUCUCCUGUGACGUGCACCCAAGCUUCUCCUCCCACAGCCCGGGGAUGCCCACUGCUCCUGCUGGCAUGGGGCUGUCCAUGGCCACCACUUGUGCUCGACAAUCUCCUUGGGGAGAUGGCCCUGGACCCACAGGGCUGAGAAGGGACCUGUGCCCCAAGCCCUAGCAUAACCUUGGUGAGCAGGGCCCGGGGAGGGGCAGGACCUCCGGCCUGGCCUCACCACAUAAGGCUGGGGCUGGGCAAGGCCGGGCCAGCCCGCACCGCCGCAUUCUGCCCGCUGCCUCUUCUGCAGAGCGGCCAGGGCUACCUGACGGGGCGUGGGGAAACCUGAUGAGCUAGUGCCUGCAGCACACUUUGAUGUCCUCGGAUGAAAAGUGCUACGCAACUACAAAGCCUUUUUAAUGUUAUAAAGCCAGAACUUCUUGCUGCCUCGACUUGGCAGGGAGACCGAUUAGAUGUUAUCGGUUUUGCUGUUUACACUUACAGAAACUGCUGCAGCGUGGUUUUGGUCCUGUUUUGUUGUUAAGAGUACUACAGCAAAAUGACAGAAGAGUUAAUUUUGGGGUCUGUUCCCUGCAACUUCAAGGAGCAGACAGAAGCGACUUUACAUUUACUGUCAGUGAAAUGUAAUAAGCAAAAUAGUCCUUCAACAAAAAGCCUGAAACAACAAACCAAAACAAGCUGAUAUGUCUGGGCAUACCGAUGUGUUCUGACCACACCUGCAGUAACUGCUAUGAAAGGCAUUCCUGUCCAAGCUUGAGGAAAAAGCCAUACUACAGAGGCCUGCACUGAAAUAACUGAGCGUGGCGUAUGUUUCACAGACAUCAGCUGGCUCUUAGACAAGGGCCUGUUUGGGCCAGGCCUCACUAGCUGCUUUUCCCUAAACUGCCACUAUGCCUUCCCACAGUGUGGUUUCACUUCAUGAAGUGGUGAAGACCACCUGUGUGGCAGUCUUCCACCAACAGCAUGAGGCAGAGCUUGUGCUCCAGCCUACAGUCAUUCAGUGACCAGUACUGAAAUAUGGGACAAAAUGGCACUUCACGGCCACUCACAUCAUGGACACAGCAACAUGCGUGGUGGUGCAAUGUGGGCACAGCUUCACCUUCACAUGUUCAGCCUCUCAGCUGCCCCACACUUGGUUUGCACUGAGUUAUAAAACUAGAAGAAGCUUCCUAUAAACACUCACUCCACAUUUACAAGCCCUGUUUUGCAGUCAGCCUCCCAGGAUGGCAGAGUUUCACCACACUCAGCACUAUCGCUCCCCGCUGACAGAGGCACAGCCACUGCCCCUUCUCUCUUUGGCUGCUCCUCCUCUCGUCCUUAAAAUCUAGAUUUGGCUGCAAAGCUCACACAAUCACCUUGAUAACAGAAAGUGCGCACAGAGAGAACUCUGCAAAGGGUUUGGGCUCUUGGCAUGCCAUCAUGCCAACAGCCACCUCCAAGUUUAGGGCUGCCCUGGGUCACCUGCCAGUAAUGUGCAAUUUCUAGUGAGCACAUCUGAGGCCUUUCUUACUGACAGCUUCUCUCUGUGCUCAUCUGGUUGCUACUGAGAAGGCAUCAGGCACCCUCAGCCGCUCUGCGCCCAGCAGAACCGCAGCUCCACUCAGGUGUGAGCAGCCGGAGGGGGACUGCACACAAUGGAAGGAAACUGGGUAUAGUGCUUUUGCAAAACCAAACAAACAACACAUUGGCGAAAA